UCCUCCUCUGCCUCCCGGCACAGCGUCUCCGCCUCCGCCGGCGGAGACCCCAAGGUAUCGAGACUGCGGGACCCACUGCCCGCAGGACAUCGAGUCACGAUGUUCCCGAGGGAGACCAAGUGGAACAUCUCAUUCGCUGGCUGCGGCUUCCUCGGGGUCUACCACAUUGGCGUGGCCUCCUGCCUCCGUGAGCACGCGCCCUUCCUGGUGGCCAACGCCACUCACAUCUACGGAGCCUCGGCAGGGGCGCUCACCGCCACAGCGCUGGUCACUGGGGCCUGCCUGGGUGAUCUUGAGCAGCUAGAACAAUGACAGGUUGCCUACUGUCUGCUGUAAACCCCUGGUCUUUAUGUCCCAUGCCUGCCAAGGUGAAGCAGGUGCCAACAUUAUUGAGGUGUCCAAGGAGGCCCGGAAGCGGUUCCUGGGUCCUCUGCAUCCCUCCUUCAACCUGGUGAAGACCAUCCGUGGCUGUCUACUAAAGACCCUGCCUGCUGAUUGCCAUGAGCGCGCCAAUGGACGCCUGGGCAUCUCCCUGACUCGUGUUUCAGACGGAGAGAACGUCAUCAUAUCCCACUUUAGCUCCAAGGAUGAGCUCAUCCAGGCCAAUGUCUGCAGCACAUUUAUCCCGGUGUACUGUGGCCUCAUUCCUCCUACCCUCCAAGGGGUGCGCUAUGUGGAUGGCGGCAUUUCAGACAACUUGCCACUUUAUGAGCUGAAGAAUACCAUCACAGUGUCCCCAUUCUCAGGCGAGAGUGACAUCUGCCCUCAGGACAGCUCCACCAACAUCCACGAGCUUCGCGUCACCAACACCAGCAUCCAGUUCAACCUUCGCAAUCUCUACCGCCUCUCGAAGGCUCUCUUCCCGCCAGAGCCCAUGGUCCUCCGAGAGAUGUGCAAACAGGGCUACAGAGAUGGACUUCGAUUCCUUAGGAGGAAUGGCCUACUGAACCAACCCAACCCUUUGCUGGCACUGCCCCCAGUUGUCCCCCAGGAAGAGGAUGCAGAGGAAGCUGCUGUGGUGGAGGAGAGGGCUGGAGAGGAGGAUCAAUUGCAGCCUUAUAGAAAAGAUCGAAUUCUAGAGCACCUGCCUGCCAGACUCAAUGAGGCCCUGCUGGAGGCCUGUGUGGAACCAAAGGACCUGAUGACCACCCUUUCCAACAUGCUACCAGUGCGCCUGGCAACGGCCAUGAUGGUGCCCUAUACUCUGCCGCUGGAGAGUGCAGUGUCCUUCACCAUCCGCUUGUUGGAGUGGCUGCCUGAUGUCCCUGAAGAUAUCCGGUGGAUGAAAGAGCAGACGGGUAGCAUCUGCCAGUAUCUGGUGAUGAGGGCCAAGAGGAAAUUGGGUGACCAUCUGCCUUCCAGACUGUCUGAGCAGGUGGAACUGCGACGUGCCCAGUCUCUGCCCUCUGUGCCACUGUCUUGCGCCACCUACAGUGAGGCCCUACCCAACUGGGUACGAAACAACCUCUCACUGGGGGACGCGCUGGCCAAGUGGGAAGAAUGCCAGCGUCAGCUACUGCUGGGUCUCUUCUGCACCAAUGUGGCCUUCCCGCCGGAUGCCUUGCGCAUGCGCGCACCUGCCAGCCCCACUGCCGCAGAUCCUGCCACCCCACAGGAUCCACCUGGCCUCCCGCCUUGCUGAGAAUCACCAUUCCCACAUCGCCCGGCUACCAGCCAAGCUCCAAGUUGUCCUGCCCCACUAAGAGGAGCCCCGGGGUGGAACAAGAUCCUGUCUGCCCCGGCUCUCCCCCUUACAUGCUGUGGAAUGAGGACAUAGGACCCUGCACAGCUGCAAGUGGGCUUUCGAUGUGAAACCUUUCACCAGCCACUCACUAUGCUACUCCUGGUGGGGAGGGAUGGGGAGUCGCCCUCCCCCGGAGCCCACAGAGCCCUCCCCCGUCACGUCACCUGUGCCUUACUCCUGCCCACCACCUUUUCAGUGCAGGGUCAGUCUUAAGAACUCCACAUCUGCUGCUGCUCCCUGGUGUCCAAGUUUCCUUGCAGAGUGUGUGAAGAAUUAUUUAUUUUUGCCAAAGCAGAUCUAAUAAAAGCCACAGCUCAGCUUCUGCCUUCCUCACUUCUGCAUGUUACCCUUGCCUCCGACUGUGGUCAGCAGACAGAGCUUUCUCCCAGUGAACUGGUGUCUCAGUAGCUAACAGUUGGGCUUCACGGGGUUCUCUGAGUCCUGGCAGCUGGGGACCGUCUCCUAAGGUCAGUCCUCUGGCAAGGACACAUGUAAGCUGCUCUGUUCUCUCUGAGGCUUGCUGCCUGUCUCUUGGGCCAGCAGAUAUGUUUGGGAGUUUGAGCCCCUUAGUAUCGAUAAAAAAACUAAAGUGGUGGGUUAGAGUUGCUCAGCCGUUGAACAGCUGUCUAAUAUGCACCAGGUCCGGAUUCCAUCUCAAGCACUAGGGGGAAAAUGUUUACAAAAGGUGUCACCCACACAUCCGCUCCUCAUGUGACACAGCGAGUGAGGGCGUGGAUCCCUGUGAAGGGCGAAGCUUCUGGAACUGCGGUCUGGGGACCCGGGAAGAUUGGUUCCUGACCCAUACUGGGGCAUCUUGCCCAGAACUUUGUGCUUGGCUCCUCUUUCUUGGUUGUCACAUGCUCCACUGCCAGGUGCAUAUGCCCUUUCCUGUACUGUAACCAUACCUGCUUCCCGCCAGAACCUUGGGAGAGAUCAGAAGUACUGAGGCAAAGUAGAGUUCACCAUGGUUUCC